UAGUGAGGAGAAGCUCUCAGAAGCAGAGGCCACAAGCCCACAAUUUCAUUGAGAAACGAUGAAAAAAAAAUAAAGGUAAAUACUUCAUUAAAUAUUUAAAUUUUGCUAUUUUGAUAAUUGUAUCGGCAUUAUUCUCAUAAUUGUAGUUGACGCGAGAGAUUUGGGCUUGUUCGAGAUGUCUACGUUCCCAAGCAUUACUACACUGGGGUGAUUACGUAAAUUCAAUGAGAGCAGCACAGGAGUUCAGCUCAAGAAUGUUUGAUUCCAUAAAGAUGGUUUCAACAAUGAAGAAGUCGAUCUUUGAUGAAAAAACUAACAAGGCCUUAAGGAA